rnacentral:misc_RNA from 1 species
GAUGAAGAACGCAGCAAAAUGCGAUAAGUAAUGUGAAUUGCAGAAUUCAGUGAAUCAUCGAAUCUUUGAACGCACAUUGCGCCCGCUGGUAUUCCGGCGGGCAUGCCUGUUCGAGCGUCAUUUCAACCCUCAAGCCCCCGGGUUUGGUGUUGGGGAUCGGCUCUGCCCUUCUGGGCGGUGCCGCCCCCGAAACACAUUGGCGGUCUCGCUGCAGCCUCCAUUGCGUAGUAGCUAACACCUCGCAACUGGAACGCGGCGCGGCCAUGCCGUAAAACCCAAACUUCUGAAUGUUGACCUCGGAUCAGGUAGGAAUACCCGCUGAACUUAAGCAUAUCAAUAAGCGGAGGA